GUCGCUUCUUGGCCUUUUGGCUAAGAUCAAGUUUAGUAUCUGUUCCGAUCUGGAGGGGAGUCAGAACCUCUUCUGGUGGGAUGUUUGUGAAGCCUGCGGUUUUGUGCACCCAUACUGGGGGGUGCCAGACUCACUGUGUGGAUGGGGCACAGUAGUAACUAACACAUUUUACUUUAUGCUUUAACUUGC
rfam:Xenopus laevis strain J chromosome 7S, whole genome shotgun sequence.